UUGGGAGCUGGUAAGGUAUCUCGCAAUGUUCGUGAAUGUGUGUUUGCUGAGAUUCGGUCGAAAAGACAGCAUUUCAGUUGUGGCGUACAAUUUAUGUUGAUGGACCAAAUAACCUCUCAUAUUCCUUCAGAGAACAUAGCUAUUAGCCACUGGUGUAUCCCGAAAGGAAUUGAGCUAGCUGAUCCGGAAUUUAAUAAAUCACAGCCAAUCGAUUUAUUAAUAGGCGCGAAGCACUAUUAUUCGUUUUUCCCUAGUGCUGCACGAGUGCACUUGGGUCCUGACCUUCCAUCAUUGAUUGACAGCGUGUUUGGCUGGAUUGUAGCGGGUUCGGCAAUGUUGCAUUACCCUGCUAAUUCGCAGACAAUUAUUUCCAACGCUGUUUGCAUGAUGUCACUGGAAGAAAGCAUGGAACGGUUUUGGAAAAUCGAAUCUUUGGUAAUGAAAGAUGGAUACUCGCCCGAAGAACGCAGAUGUGAACAGCUAUUUCAGACAACCACGACGAGAGAUAAGGAUGGUCGGUACAUCGUCCGUUUGCCGCGUCAUCCUGACUUUGGGGUACGAUUAGGUGCAUCCAAAACAAGUGCAAAACGUCGAUUCGAGCUGUUGGAGAAACGUUUCGUUAGAAAUGCCAAACUGAAGGAAGAGUAUCACGCAUUUAUGAAGGAGUACUACGAGUUGGGGCAUAUGCGUUUGGUCCGCGAUGAGCUGCCGGAGCCAGUUGAGUCGUACUAUCUGCCCCACCAUCCCGUGUUCAAAGAGUCGAGCACUACAACGAAAAUCAGAGUCGUGUUUGACGGCUCUUCGAAAACUACAAGCGGUUAUUCCCUUAAUGAGGCUCUCUGUGUGGGACCAGUGGUGCAGGACGAGCUGCUUGAUCAACUUUUGCGUUUUCGCACCUACAGAGUGGCUUUGGUAGGCGACAUAGCAAAGAUGUACCGGCAGAUAUUGCUUCAUCCUGAUGAUCGUCCAUUAGUGCGAAUUUUCUUUCGAUUUUCGACGCAGCAACCAGUCCAGAUUUAUGAGCUGAAUACGGUUACCUAUGGACUGGCACCAUCAUCGUUCCUUGCUACGCGUGCUCUAAUUCAGCUAGCGGAUGAUGAGGGUGACGCAUACCCACGAGCGGGUCCGGCUUUGCGAAAGAACUUCUACGUAGACGAUUUCAUCGGAGGAGCGAACUCGGUAGAAGAGGCUACGUUGCUACGAGAUGAGUUAGCUGAGUUGCUACUUAAAGGCGGAUUUGAGCUACGCAAAUGGACCUCUAAUUGUCCUGAUGUUCUGCGCGGACUCGAUGAGUCGCAAAUUGGAACAACUUCCAAGAUGAGCUUCGCUUCCCAUGAAGCCGUGAAGACACUUGGGAUCAGUUGGGUUCCACAAGAAGAUUGGUUGCUAUUUGAAGGAUUGUGUCAACCAGAUACCGAUAUCAUCACAAAGCGAUCUGUACUUUCCACCAUCGCUAAAAUGUAUGAUCCGCUGGGAAUGAUAGCUCCGAUAGUCAUUCGGGCAAAGAUGAUAAUGCAGGAAAUAUGGACGUACUCGUGUGAUUGGGAUGAUGCCCUGCCAGCAGGCAUCGUUAGUAAGUGGAAGCAGCUUCAACAGGAGAUCCAAUCCCUUUCACAGUACCGUAUGGAAAGAUACGUAUUGGUUCCCGGCGCACGUAAGAUUGAGCUGCACACCUUUUCCGAUGCUUCAACAGUAGCUUAUGGUGCAUGCACGUAUGUACGGUGUGAAGAGCCGGGACGAGUUCGGGUGAUGCUUCUAGCAUCUAAGAGUAAGGUAGCACCCUUAAAGCAACUAACGGUUGCCAGACUAGAGUUAUGUGCCUGCGUCCUUGCAGCACAUUUGCACCAUCGAAUAAAAAGGGCAAUCGCUACGAAAAUUGAUGCGUCAUGGUUUUGGACCGAUUCAGCUAUCUGCACGGCGUGGAUUAGGGCGCCUCCAACCACGUGGAAAACGUUUGUCGCCAACCGUGUGGCUGAGAUACAGCAUUUUACGAGUGACGCAAAGUGGCGACACAUAGCUGGAGUCGAAAAUCCCGCUGAUCUGGUGUCGCGCGGGAUGGAAGUGUUGGAAUUCAACAACAGCAUGGCAUGGAGACAUGGGCCAGCAUGGUUGACGAAAUCAGAGGAUGUUUGGCCUAUGUCUAAUCCAACGGAGCCUCCUGAGGCAAUUCAAGAGAAGAAAGUCUUAACAGCCGCCGUUGCGACGUGUACCAACGAGCUGUUCCUGCGUUGGUCAUCAUUUACUCGCCUGGUAAAUGUCGUAGGUUAUUGUCGACGUUUCAUUGCCAUGGUGCCACAUCGGCGGCGCAUAAGACGUGAAGGAGCCAUGCAUUCCAACGAAGGCAAUGCGCAUUCCAGUACUUCCGCAUCUCCGAAGGUGCUGAGCGUUCUUGAGCGAGCAGCAGCAGAAGACGCGUUAUUAAGGCUUGCUCAGCGUGAGUCUUUCGCGGAAGAGUUGAGUGAUCUGCAAACGGGGAAACAAAUUAGAAGGCAGUCACAGUUACGUCGACUUACCCCAUUUUUGGACAAAAAGGGUAUCAUCAGAGUUGGUGGCCGAUUGAACUUGGCGCAGCUACCCUUUCAGUCGAAGCAUCCCGCGUUGCUGCCAAAGGGCCACCCACUGGCUCGAUUAAUCGCAGAGAGCUACCACAAGUUGCUGCUACAUGGUGGAGGACGUUUGUUGCUGUCAUCCAUAAGGGAAAGAUUUUGGCCCUUGAACGGAAGAAUGUUGGUGAAAGCCGUGGUGAGGAAUUGCAUCCGAUGUAUUCGUCAUCAUCCUACGGCAGCAGAGCAGCAUACUGGUCAACUGCCCUCUGGUAGAUUAGUCCCGAGUCGUCCGUUUGCGGUCACAGGAGUGGAUUACGCAGGCCCAUUGUAUCUAAAGCCUGCGCAUCGGCGGGCUGCAUCGCUGAAGGCAUAUUUGUGUGUCUUUGUGUGUUUCACAACCAAGGCGGUUCAUCUAGAGCUAGUGGGUGAUCUUUCAACCGAAGGGUUUCUCGCUGCUCUACGGAGAUUUACGGCGAGGAGAGGUGUUCCGGAGCACAUCCAUUCGGACAACGUAGGUUCAUCGAUGACGGCGAUACCAGAUCCGGAACUAACGCACGCACACAUAAACACCGAACAGCACUUGACCAAACUUCAACUACUGGUUCAGAAGUUUUGGAAACACUGGCAGAAGGAAUACUUACAAGAACUGCAGAAGGACCCACGCAUCGCUAAGAACGCGGAUAACAUUCAACCGGGGCGAAUGGUUAUCGUAGUGGACGAGCUGCUGCCAACUACUCGCUGGCCGCUUGCACGAGUCGUAGAGGUUCACCCCGGCGCGGAUGGAUUAGUACGCGUAGUCACGUUGCGAACACCUAAGGGAAUUAUAAAACGUCCGAUCACGAAGAUCUGUCCCUUACCAAUAUCCAGUGAAAAUGUAGGAGCAUAACUAAGUCAGGGAAUAUCACUUGCACAAAGAUCACGAAUCACUUGGUACUUAACACUUUUAUCCGUUUGCGAUACCACGCGGUGUUUUGACAUAGGCGAGCAAGGAUAAGUUUGUUUGUUGAUGGUACAUCAAGGCGAGGAGUAUGUUUACGUUUCGUAUGCGUUACACUCAUUUGACAGUUGAAAAUUAUUAUUCCGAUUAAUGCAUUAUUGUUUUCACCGGGGUAGCGUUACGAACGCAGAGGUUAGUUGUGUUAGUGUAAGGACCGUUAGGGCUAAGAACCAUUGCGAAAAAUCACUGCACUUGUAAUAAAAUACGUACGCCGAACGGUCAAGCGAGAAACCGCGCUCCAGAUUAAUUUUUCACCGUUCCGAAAGAAAACUAAAAUUCACAACGUAGGGAUCGAUCGCGAACAUUUGGUGCCGUGACCAGGAUAUAUUCUUUCGGAGUGAAAUUAAUUUCGGUUUCUUAAAGUGAUCAUUGCUGCGUGUUGCAAGAUUGCACUAUUGCACUGAGUGUGAACACUUGUAUUAUUUGUUGAAAGUUGUCAGCUAUCUGUAACGUACUGUACGUGUACCGUGAUUGUUGAUCGUGAUUAUUGACUGUUGGCUGCUUGUGGAAAUUUGUGGUGUUGAGUUUUUUGGUUGUGAACUCGUCCUCGCGAAUUUUGUGUUUUUUGUCGUUGACCGGCCAUCACUGUGAGCAUUGGCGUCGGUUCAAUGGCAUCACCAGCCGACUUGCGUUCCAGAAGAGUGACGUUGGAGGAGAAGAUUCAUCGUGCUGCUGCAUUUGCUGCAAAUUUCGUUCCGGCGCGCGACGAGCUUAAAGUGCCUUUUUAUGCCGCGGAAGUUGAACGAGUUUCAGUCGAAUACGACGGUGUGCAGCAGAUGAUUGAAAAUGGUGCUGCACCGGAGGAACGCGCGCUUGAAAGCCAUUUACGCGCCACGAUGGAGGAUGCUAUAAUGGCUGUGAGAGCAAGCCUCCAAGCACUAAUGCAACCGACGCCGCGCGUAGCCAUCGCGUCAUCAUCGAAUCGCGUUGCAGCGUCGGAGCUAAGAUUGCCAAGAAUUUCGUUGCCUGAAUUCGACGGUAAUGAAAUGCAAUGGGCAACGUUUCGUGACACUUUUGAAGCACUUAUUCACAACAACACCGAAGUGCUGGAUAUCCAAAAGUUUCACUAUCUGCGAGCAGCACUGAAAGGAGAAGCUGCUAGGCUGCUAGAUUCCAUCCCGUUGUGUUCCUCAAAUUACUCCAUUGCAUGGAAAUCAUUGGUC